rnacentral:ncRNA from 1 species
AUAAACUGAGAAUGAAGAAUAAAUUCAUAUAGAGAAAUUUAACCACGAAGGCAGAUGCUGACAGAUUUUGCACAGCCCAGAUCUGACCUAUGCCAAGGGUUUAUAGUGACAUUGCUUUUUGAUCCUUCAAUGUCGUCUCUUACUUCCAUUGUAGGACAGGAUUCACCAAGCGUUGGAUUAUUCACCCACUAAUGGGGAACGUGCUGGGAUUAGACUGAUGGGAGACAAGGUAGUUUUACCCUACUGAU